rnacentral:rRNA from 1 species
AGAAUCAACGCUGGCGGCGUGCCUAACACAUGCAAGUCGAGCGCGAAAGGGGAGCAAUCCCCAAGUAGAGCGGCGAACGGGUGAGUAACGCGUGGGUAAUCUACCUUCGAGUGGGGAAUAACAGCGGGAAACUGCUGCUAAUACCGCAUGACAUCGUCGAUCCUUCGGGACUGACGAUCAAAGCCGGGGACCGCAAGGCCUGGCGCUUGAAGACGAGCCCGCGUCCGAUUAGCUAGUUGGCGGGGUAAUGGCCCACCAAGGCUUCGAUCGGUAGCCGG